CCAGCACCCCGAGUUGUCGGGACGAUUAUUGGGCCUAAAGCAUCCGUAGCCUGUUCUGCAAGUCCUCCGUUAAAUCCACCUGCUCAACGGAUGGGCUGCGGAGGAAACCGCAGAGCUAGGAGGCGGGAGAGGCAAACGGUACUCAGUGGGUAGGGGUAAAAUCCAUUGAUCUACUGAAGACCACCAGUGGCGAAGGCGGUUUGCCAGAACGCGCUCGACGGUGAGGGAUGAAAGCUGGGGGAGCAAACCGGAUUAGAUACCCGGGUAGUCCCAGCUGUAAACGAUGCAGACUCGGUGAUGGGUUGGCUUCGAGCCAACCCAGUGCCGCAGGGAAGCCGUUAAGUCUGCCGCCUGGGGAGUACGGUCGCAAGACUG
rnacentral:rRNA from 1 species